ACUUCCUUGGCAUUGAUUAACAAUAGGAACCAGACAGCUAUACUAUCUUCAAUCAUCCAAGCGUGACAUUGACAAAGAAUUACUCUCCUCUUGUUUCAUCUCAAGAGCUUUCUGUGCAAUGUGAAUAUGCUAUUCAUGAUCAAAUGAAAAUAUCAAGUGGAUUGAACAUUAAGAGGACUUCUGAAUCUCGUUUUCUCAAGAGGAAGAAACAGAGGAAAGAAAU